CAGCAUAUUAGAAAUGUUUAUUAAGAAUAAUGGCAUGAACUGCUUUUAACAAUUUAGAAAAGACCCAUUCCCCCCGCCCCCCCCCCGCCCCCAGAUCCAGGGCACUUCCUCUAAGUAAACACAAAUAUUUCUGUAGUGAACUGUAUGCAUAUUCCCACUGAGUAAAGGUUAUAAGAAGCCUCAGUGGGUUCUUGACAAAUGUGCAUCAGUUGGAUGCUGAAGACAAACCAAAGUAGGAGACCAACAAGCACUUUAAGGGUGGUCGGGGGUUGACCUCAAAUCUGGAACUUUAUUCAUCACGGACUAUGGCACUAUAGAAAACUGUGGGCUCUCUUCCUUAGAGCAGAUAGACAGCCAGAGACUGGGACUCCCUGGGCUGGAUGAUCACAAAGCACAUUGUAAACACAGCAGAGCAGAGCAGGUUUAGAGUUGUUAUACAAAUAAAUUUUGG
rnacentral:antisense_RNA from 1 species